ACAGAGGUGGCAAGCGUUGUUCGGAAUCACUGGGCUUAAAGCGCACGUAGGCGGCCUGUCAAGUGCCUUGUGAAAUCCCCCGGCCCAACCGGGGAAUUGCUGGGUAGACUGAUGGGCUUGAGGUAGGUAGGGGCGAGUGGAACUCUUGGUGGAGCGGUGGAAUGCGUAGAUAUCAAGAGGAACGCCGGAGGUGAAAACGACUCGCUGGGCCUGUCCUGACGCUGAGGUGCGAAAGCCAGGGGAGCAAACGG
rnacentral:rRNA from 1 species